CCUACGGGGGGCUGCAGUGGGGAAUAUUGGACAAUGGGCGAAAGCCUGAUCCAGCCAUGCCGCGUGUGUGAAGAAGGCCUUCGGGUUGUAAAGCACUUUCAGUGGGGAAGAAAGCCUUGGGGCUAAUACCCUCGAGGAAGGACAUCACCCACAGAAGAAGCACCGGCUAACUCCGUGCACAGCAGCCGCGGUAAUACGGAGGGUGCGAGCGUUAAUCGGAAUUACUGGGCGUAAAGCGCGCGUAGGCGGUCUGAUAAGCCGGUUGUGAAAGCCCCGGGCUCAACCUGGGAACGGCAUCCGGAACUGUCAGGCUAGAGUGCAGGAGAGGAAGGUAGAAUUCCCGGUGUAGCGGUGAAAUGCGUAGAGAUCGGGAGGAAUACCAGUGGCGAAGGCGGCCUUCUGGACUGACACUGACGCUGAGGUGCGAAAGCGUGGGUAGCAAACAGGAUUAGAUACCCGGGUAGUC
rnacentral:rRNA from 1 species